AUUGAACGCUGGCGGAAUGCUUUACACAUGCAAGUCGAACGGUAGAGGGGGCAACCCCUCGAGAGUGGCGAACGGGUGAGUAAUAUAUCGGAACGUGCCCAGUCGUGGGGGAUAACGUAGCGAAAGUUGCGCUAAUACCGCAUACGAUCUAAGGAUGAAAGCGGGGGAUCGCAAGACCUCGCGCGAUUGGAGCGGCUGAUAUCAGAUUAGGUAGUUGGUGGGGUAAAGGCUCACCAAGCCAACGAUCUGUAGCUGGUCUGAGAGGACGACCAGCCACACUGGAACUGAGACACGGUCCAGACUCCUACGGGAGGCAGCAGUGGGGAAUUUUGGACAAUGGACGCAAGUCUGAUCCAGCCAUUCCGCGUGCAGGAUGAAGGCCCUCGGGUUGUAAACUGCUUUUGUACGGAACGAAAAGGUCUCUCUUAAUACGGGGGGCUCAUGACGGUACCGUAAGAAUAAGCACCGGCUAACUACGUGCCAGCCGCCGCAGUAA
rnacentral:rRNA from 1 species